rnacentral:lncRNA from 1 species
GAACUCACUGAAUAUCCGCCACAGACCACGGCAGAUAAGACCACUCCGGCGUUUUACAGGGACAGAGCGCGCCAGGGACGUGCCAGCCCCGGCCCCGGCUCUGCCACAUUUACUAUGUGACCUCCUGUCAGUCAUUCUCUCUCCCAGUCCUAGAUGAGAUCUUAGAGCUCACGCAAGCUUGCCUGUUGGAACAGACUAAGUAUCUGACUUUGCGGGGAUGUUCCUGAUGCCCAUCGAAGGACAGAAAUCUGGACACUUGCGGAUGUGCUUUAAUGGGGGAGAUGCUGAUUCUGCCCUGGCGUGACCAUAGAUAGCUAGAAGCUGAAGUCAUUCUGAGUCGGGAGAAUACAGUUGGGGGCACUGCCGGAAAGGAUCUUUAAGUCCGAGGAUGCCCUAGGGCGUGAUCAUAUCCCACCCGGUGGCCCUUGCCCACAGUCCCCUAGUCCACGAGAUUGGAAUCCGAUCUGGGAAGGUCCCUGCUCCCUUGGUAGAAGGAGGCUCUGGGAUGGGAGAAGGGAGCUUCUUAGCGAUUUGAAAAUUAGCAUCCCUUCAGUAGCGCAAACCUUAUGGAAGAAACCUUGGCCUUAAAACAUUCUCAGAGGGGAGACUGGGAGGAACAGGCCUGUUUAUUCAGGGGAAAGUUGGAGAAGGGAGGGCGAGUUUAGCAGAAAAGCUCGAGAUGCCUGGAUAACAAAAAGUUUGCGCUCAUACUUCCUUCGAGGGACAAUUUGCUGAAUAUUUACACACCUUUGCGUGCUGCGAGGUCUUUGUUGGCUACUGGGAUGCGAGAUGUGUAUGAUGUGAAUGUGCAAAUAUGUUUGCAUGUGCGAAAAGUGGCUGCACAU